GCCAAUGCAUGCUUUUACAGUAUGGAAAUUGGUGAUUUAUAAUAACUUGGCAAAUCGCAAAGUGAAAACAGGCGAUAAAUCAUUCAAGUUUCUGACCUAUCAGCUUUCGACGGUAUGGUAUUGGCUUACCGUGGCAGUGACGGUUAACGGGGGAUUAGGGUUCGAUUCCGGAGAGGGAGCCUGAGAAACGGCUACCACAUCUAAGGAAGGCAGCAGGCGCGCAAAUUACCCAAUUCUAACAGUUUGAGAGAGGUAGUAACAAGAAAUAACAAUACAAGGCAAUUAAAAUGCUUUGUAAUUGGAAUGAUAGAAAUUUAAACCCUUUUUAAAGUAUCAAUUGGAGGGCAAGUCUGGUGCCAGCAGCCGCGGUAAUUCCAGCUCCAAUAGCGUAUAUUAAAAUUGUUGCAGUUAAAAAGCUCGUAGUUGAAGUUCUGCUAAAAGUAACCGGUCUGCUUUUAAUAAAAGUGGUAUCUUGGUGUGUAUUUAGCAAUGAUGUCCUUUGAAGUGUUUUUUACUUUAUUGUAAUAAAGCAUAUUCAGGACUUUUACUUUGAGAAAAUUAGAGUGUUUCUAGCAGGCCGACGCUUUGAAUACUG
rnacentral:rRNA from 1 species